AGCGAACGCUGGCGGCAGGCCUAACACAUGCAAGUCGAACGAACCUUUCGGGGUUAGUGGCGGACGGGUGAGUAACACGUGGGAACGUGCCUUUAGGUUCGGAAUAACUCAGGGAAACUUGUGCUAAUACCGAAUGUGCCCUUCGGGGGAAAGAUUUAUCGCCGUUAGAGCGGCCCGCGUCUGAUUAGCUAGUUGGUUGAGGUAAUGGCUCACCAAGGCGACGAUCAGUAGCUGGUCUGAGAGGAUGAUCAGCCACAUUGGGACUGAGACACGGCCCAAACUCCUACGGGAGGCAGCAGUGGGGAAUCUUGCGCAAUGGGCGAAAGCAUGACGCAGCCAUGCCGCGUGAAUGAUGAAGGUCUUAGGAUAGUAAAAUUCUUUCACCGGGGACGAUAAUGACGGUACCCGGAGAAGAAGCCCCGGCUAACUUCGUG
rnacentral:rRNA from 1 species